rnacentral:rRNA from 1 species
CAGUAGCCACGGUAAUACGUAGGGUGCAAGCGUUAAUCGGAAUUACUGGGCGUAAAGCGUGCGCAGGCGGUUUGUUAAGACAGAUGUGAAAUCCCCGGGCUCAACCUGGGAACUGCAUUUGUGACUGGCAAGCUAGAGUAUGGCAGAGGGGGGUGGAAUUCCGCGUGUAGCAGUGAAAUGCGUAGAUAUGCGGAGGAACACCGAUGGCGAAGGCAGCCCCCUGGGCCAAUACUGACGCUCAUGCACGAAAGCGUGGGGAGCAAACAGGAUUAGAUACCCCAGUAGUCCCUGUCUCUUAUAC